GCCAGGGUAGCUCAGCGGUAGAGCAGCGGACUCAUAAGCCGUUGGUCGUGGGUUCAAAUCCCACCCCUGGCACCA
rnacentral:tRNA from 1 species